rnacentral:rRNA from 1 species
CGGUUGAUCCUGCCGGAGGUUGCUGCUAUCAGGAUACGAUUAAGCCAUGCAAGUCUUGCUUACUUUGGUAAGCGGCGACAUGCUCAGUAACACGUCGAUAAUCUGCCUUUAGGUCUGGAAUAACCUUGGUAAACUGAGGGUAAUGCCGGAUAUAGGAGCUACACUGGAAUAGUUUUUUCCUUGAAAGCUUCGGUGCCUAAAGAUGAGUUGGCGGUGGAUUAGGUUGUUGGUGGGGUAAUGGCCCACCAAGCCGAAGAUCCAUAGGGGCCUUGAGAGAGGUAGCCCCGAGAAGGACACUGAAAUACUGGUCCUAGCCCCACGGGGUGCAGCAGGCGCGAAACCUUUACAAUGCACGAAAGUGUGAUAGGGGAAUCCUGAGUGCUCAUGUUUUCAUGGGCUUUUGCCAAGAGCAAACAUCUUGGCGAAUAAGUGGUGGGUAAGACGGGUGCCAGCAGCCGCGGUAACACCUGCGCCAUGAGUGGGAGCCAUUAUUAUUGGGUCUAAAGCGUCCGUAGCCGGUUUGAUAAGUUUUCUGUGAAAUUGUCUAGCUUAACUAGACAGCGUGCAGAAAAUACCGUCAGACUUGAGACCAGGAAGGGCCAAGAGUAUUCUGGGGGGAGCGGUAAAAUGCUAUAAUCCCCGGAGGACUACCAAUGGCGAAGGCACUUGGCCGGAAUGGAUCUGACGGUGAGGGACGAAAGCUAGGGGANCGAUCCGGAUUAGAUACCCGAGUAGUCCUAGCUGUAAACGCUGUGAGCCAGGUGUU